UGUAUCCUGACAACUAUGUUUUAUCUUCAUUUAUUUAUGUUCCUUUAAAAGAAGUUACAGCUCUCCACCACUAGUGGCCUCCCUAGCCACUAGUCACCUCAGUCUUCACCUGCCUAGGACCAAUUACAAAUCCUACAAAAGGCCACACCCGAGAAUACCACUGGCCAUUACAGUGAAGUUGGUGAUUUACCAGAAACACCUCAUAUCCUGGCUCCUCUGAACCUGCUUCAGACCAACCUGCUCCAGAUUUACCGUCAAACCUGCUCCUAAAAAUAUAACCUGCUCCACGCUUUCCUAUACUUCUAACCAGCCUGCCUCUGUAACCAGCCUUUCUCUGUUACCAGCCUUCCACUGUUACCAGCCUGCCUUUGUUACAACCCUACCUGGAAAUUACAGACAUUCUUUAUUAUUUGCAGGUAUCCUGUUUUGUGGCAUAUUACCUAAAUUCUUUUUUGCCUCAAGUUUCAUAAUAUGUCUAAAAUCACUAAUAAAGUACCUGAAGUCAACCGUGGCAUAAGUCUCCUAUCUGACCUGCACAAGAUCAUGACCGGUACAUUCUGCUCUCUUGAAACCUAUCUGGAAUAAAAAACCAUCUAGGAUUAAAUUAUCC